rnacentral:tRNA from 1 species
GCCCAAAUAGCUCAAUUGGCAGAGCAACACAUUCGUAACGUGUAGGUCGUCGGUUCGACUCCGGCUUUGGGCA